AACAGGAUUAGAUACCCUGGUAGUCCACGCCGUAAACGAUGUCGACUUGGAGGUUGUGCCCUUGAGGCGUGGCUUCCGGAGCUAACGCGUUAAGUCGACCGCCUGGGGAGUACGGCCGCAAGGUUAAAACUCAAAUGAAUUGACGGGGGCCCGCACAAGCGGUGGAGCAUGUGGUUUAAUUCGAUGCAACGCGAAGAACCUUACCUACUCUUGACAUCCAGAGAACUUAGCAGAGAUGCUUUGGUGCCUUCGGGAACUCUGAGACAGGUGCUGCAUGGCUGUCGUCAGCUCGUGUUGUGAAAUGUUGGGUUAAGUCCCGCAACGAGCGCAACCCUUAUCCUUUGUUGCCAGCGGUCCGGCCGGGAGCUCAAAGGAGACUGCCAGUGAUAAACUGGAGGAAGGUGGGGAUGACGUCAAGUCAUCAUGGCCCUUACGAGUAGGGCUACACACGUGCUACAAUGGCGCAUACAAAGAGAAGCGACCUCGCGAGAGCAAGCGGACCUCAUAAAGUGCGUCGUAGUCCGGAUUGGAGUCUGCAACUCGACUCCAUGAAGUCGGAAUCGCUAGUAAUCGUGGAUCAGAAUGCCACGGUGAAUACGUUCCCGGGCCUUGUACACACCGCCCGUCACACCAUGGGAGUGGGUUGCAAAAGAAGUAGGUAGCUUAACCUUCGGGAGGGCGCUUACCACUUUGUGAUUCAUGACUGGGGUGAAGUCGUAACAAGGUAACC
rnacentral:rRNA from 1 species